AUUGAACGCUGGCGGCAUGCCUUACACAUGCAAGUCGAACGGUAACAGGGAGCUUGCUCCGCUGACGAGUGGCGAACGGGUGAGUAAUGUAUCGGAACGUACCUUUCAGUGGGGGAUAACGUAGCGAAAGUUACGCUAAUACCGCAUAUUCUGUGAGCAGGAAAGCAGGGGAUCGCAAGACCUUGCGCUGAUUGAGCGGCCGAUAUCAGAUUAGCUAGUUGGUGAGGUAAAGGCUCACCAAGGCGACGAUCUGUAGCGGGUCUGAGAGGAUGAUCCGCCACACUGGAACUGAGACACGGUCCAGACUCCUACGGGAGGCAG
rnacentral:rRNA from 1 species